CAGUCGCCGCGGUAAUACGAAGGGGGCUAGCGUUGCUCGGAAUUACUGGGCGUAAAGGGAGCGUAGGCGGGUCGUUUAGUCAGAGGUGAAAUCCCGGGGCUCAACCUCGGAACUGCCUUUGAUACUGGCGACCUUGAGUAUGGGAGAGGUGAGUGGAACUCCGAGUGUAGAGGUGAAAUUCGUAGAUAUUCGGAAGAACACCAGUGGCGAAAGCGACUCACUGGCCCAUUACUGACGCUGAGGCACGAAAGCGUGGGGAGCAAACAGGAUUAGAUACCCGCGUAGUCCCUGUCUCUUAUAC
rnacentral:rRNA from 1 species